rnacentral:rRNA from 1 species
CACGGGGGGUGCGAGCGUUGUCCGGAAUCACUGGGCGUAAAGGGCGCGUAGGUGGCGUCGUAAGUCUGUGGUGAAAGCCCGGAGCUCAACUCCGGGUCUGCCGCGGAUACUGCGAGGCUUGAGUGCUGUAGAGGGGGGUAGAAUGCCGGGUGUAGCGGUGGAAUGCGUAGAGAUCCGGCAGAAGACCGGUGGCGAAGGCGGCCCCCUGGGCAGUAACUGACACUGAGGCGCGACAGCGUGGGGAGCAAACAGG